rnacentral:rRNA from 1 species
CGGACGGGUGAGUAAUGCUUGGGAAUCUAGCUUAUGGGGGGGGAUAACUACGGGAAACUGUAGCUAAUACCGCGUAAUAUCGAAAGAUUAAAGUGUGGGACCUUCGGGCCACAUGCCAUAGGAUGAGCCCAAGUGGGAUUAGGUAGUUGGUGAGGUAAAGGCUCACCAAGCCGACGAUCUCUAGCUGGUCUGAGAGGAUGACCAGCCACACUGGGACUGAGACACGGCCCAG